rnacentral:rRNA from 1 species
GACGAACGCUGGCGGCGCGCUUAACACAUGCAAGUCGAACGGAAAGGCCUGCUUUCCCUUGUGGAUUGCGGGUACUCGAGUGGCGAACGGGUGAGUAACACGUGAGUGAUCUGCCCCCAACUUGGGUAUAAGCCUGGGAAACUGGGUCUAAUUCCCGAUAGGACUGCAGGGUGGUGCCUGUGGUGGAAAACGAUUUUCUAGUGGCUGGGGAUGAGCUCGCGGCCUAUCAGCUUGUUGGUGGGGUAAUGGCCUACCAAGGCGGCGACGGGUAGCCGGCCUGAGAGGGUGGACGGCCACAUUGGGACUGAGAUACGGCCCAGACUCCUACGGGAGGCAGCAGUGGGGAAUAUUACACAAUGGGCGGAAGCCUGAUGCAGCGACGCCGCGUGGGGGAUGACGGCCUUCGGGUUGUAAACUCCUUUCGACCGCGAGGAAGCCACCUGGUUGGAAGGGUGGUGACGGUAGUGGUAGAAGAAGCACCGGCUAACUACGUG